rnacentral:rRNA from 1 species
GAAGGGUGCAAGCGUUACUCGGAAUUACUGGGCGUAAAGCGUGCGUAGGUGGUUUGUUAAGUCUGAUGUGAAAGCCCUGGGCUCAACCUGGGAAUGGCAUUGGAAACUGGCUGACUAGAGUGCGGUAGAGGGUAGUGGAAUUCCCGGUGUAGCAGUGAAAUGCGUAGAUAUCGGGAGGAACAUCUGUGGCGAAGGCGACUACCUGGACCAGCACUGACACUGAGGCACGAAAGCGUGGGGAGCAAACAGGAUUAGAUACCCUGGUAGUCCACGCCCUAAACGAUGCGAACUGGAUGUUGGGAGCAACUUGGCUCUCAGUAUCGAAGCUAACGCGUUAAGUUCGCCGCCUGGGAAUACGGUCGCAAGACUG